UACGAACUGUGCGAACGUUAUUCGGAAUCACUGGGCUUACAGGGUGCGUAGGCGGCUUGGCAAGUCGGAUGUGAAAUCCCUCGGCUCAACCAAGGAAGUGCAUCCGAAACUGCUGAGCUUGAGUACUUAAGAGGAUCGCGGAAUUCCCGGUGUAGAGGUGAAAUUCGUAGAUAUCGGGAGGAACACCAGUGGCGAAGGCGGCGAUCUGGGAAGAUACUGACGCUGAGGUGCGAAAGCGUGGGGAGCAAACAGG
rnacentral:rRNA from 1 species